CCUACGGGAGGCAGCAGUAGGGAAUAUUGCUCAAUGGGGGAAACCCUGAAGCAGCAACGCCGCGUGGAGGAUGAAGGUUUUCGGAUUGUAAACUCCUUUUGUUAGAGAAGAUAAUGACGGUAUCUAACGAAUAAGCACCGGCUAACUCCGUGCCAGCAGCCGCGGUAAUACGGGGGGUGCAAGCGUUACUCGGAAUCACUGGGCGUAAAGAGCGCGUAGGCGGGAUAGCAAGUCAGAUGUGAAAUCCUAGGGCUUAACCCUAGAACUGCAUUUGAAACUGUUAUUCUAGAGUAUGGGAGAGGUAGGUGGAAUUCUUGGUGUAGGGGUAAAAUCCGUAGAGAUCAAGAGGAAUACUCAUUGCGAAGGCGACCUGCUAGAACAUAACUGACGCUGAUGCGCGAAAGCGUGGGGAGCAAACAGGAUUAGAUACCCGAGUAGUC
rnacentral:rRNA from 1 species